UGGAACGACAAUGGUGCCAUAAAUGUUUAAGGUGUGUAGGAGGUUUCCAAUAAAGUAUAAACUCACAGCACAUGAGUUCAAAUAUACAACAAGUUCUGCAGGGAAUAAAUUCCGAUGACUCCAGAAAAACACGCUGUACAGAAGCAAAAUCAGGGAGCAACCAAAAUUUGCUGCUGAGUUAAAAGCCAGUAAAAUUGCUGUUAUAUUUCGCAAUUGUUUAAACGGGUCUUUUAUUAUAACAAGUAAUAAAAUGGCGUUGAAUAUCGCGCUUAUCAAGGACAUCACACCAAUUAAUGUCACGACAACAUCUCCUUCGACUUCGUAUUCCUGUGGUAAAAAUAUGAAACCAAAUACGAUCAGAAAACCUGGUUGUUGAGAAGCAUUUCGCGAUUG
rnacentral:lncRNA from 1 species